rnacentral:lncRNA from 1 species
GGAGAGAGAAGAAGGAGAAAAUGGAAGAGGGAGAGGAUGCAGAGGUGGAGGAAAACAAAGAAAAGCAGAGCAGAAGCCCAUCGCCUGGGGAAACUGCAAGUUCUAAGGGGUCUCAUAAGCUGUGGAAGAUGGUAGCAUAGUGGUAGAUCUGUCCAAUCUUGGUGCACAGCAUGUAACCAUAUUAACUGAGUUGUUUUUUCAUUGCUGGGGCAUAUUUGGGAGGAGAUUUACAUCAACACCAUGGUGUUACCACAAUGCUAUUCCAAGAUGCCUUCCAGGCUCGAACCUGGACAUGUGAGCCGCUGGCUGGCCUCAACAAUUUGGCAAACCAAUGCAGGACCUGAGAAAGGCAGAGGACAUUUGGAAGAAACACUGCUGAUUUGUAGCUCCAUGCAAGAAGAAAAGAAUUAAAAUUCGUACCACAGAAGCUACCUUAUUAGGGAAUUGAAAAACAUAGGUUCUCUCCAUGGAACACUGCAGAAGCAUGAUGGCUAAUUCGUUUGACAAGCUGGCAGGGCCAAGAUACCUGGCUUAUGACUAGGUCAUUUACAAUAAAGUACCUGCUGUACAGCUGCCAAGCUUGCUAUAUAAGUGUGCAAAAAUUUGGAAUUCAGACCACAAGAAUGCUGUCUGAGUCUUCAGGCACCUGGUCAUCUGGGUCCAGGUUGAUGCUGCAGCAUGUCUUCUAACCCGCCUACCACCAGAGGGCAGCAGCGUACAUUCACAACAAUUGUUGAGAAGUGGAAGCCGAUGAAUCUUAUGUGCAGAAGAGGACAUAGCAAAAGAAGAAGCAUUCCAUACCACCUGCGUUCAUGCCUGCCAUGCCCUGGAUUUGGGCCCCCAUCUGAACCAUCUCCUGCACAUAACCAUGCUAUCAUAAUGAGGAAUCUUGAGAUCUGUGACAAUCUCUCUCUUCUCCCCAGCCCACAGCUCCAUCACACCCUACUCUAAUCACUAAGGAUCACUCAAGAUACUUCACUGUCUUCUGUUUUUCCAAAGUCCCUAAGUCACUUUAAGACUUUCUAUGUCCUCUGUAAACAGUCACAUACUCAUGUCUGGGGCUAGGUAUACAUGUGGAGAUAAGAGUGCAAGAGACAAGAAUGAAGGAGAGAAAAGUGAGGAAGGAAAAAUAAAGAGCUAUUUAUGUGGUAGGUCUGUGUUCCCCAAACACCAUGGGAUGAUCCAAGGAUAUCCAGCAUAAGGUGUGACUUCUUCAAAAUAGCCUUGAGUGAGCAGCUUAGCCCAGAGAAGACCUAAGGAUCCAAAGCAUUGCUGCAUAUUACUCUUAUGUGCAAAGAGGCCAGGAAGCUAUCCCAGGAAAUUUCAUCACAUCCCUCAAUGGCAGAUGCAUUCUACUGAGAAGAGAGCAACGGGUUCACUUGGCAAAUAUUGCUGUCACAUGAUGUCAAUGUAUCUGCAUCUCCUAUGACUUUAACUCAUCUGGAGCACUGCCUGCCUCAGGAGCCAGCACUUUUCCAAGCUGCCACAGGUCAACCUGGUCCUUGGUUUUCCUAAAGACUCCUUAGUCUGAGGGAAUUUACUUUCCCAUACUUCUGAGACCCAAAUAACCCAUUUCCCAAAUCCAGCCAGGAAAACCAAAUGGAAAUAUUUGGGGCAUCUAUGAGAAAAUUCUCCUUCAGGUCAGCAUCACUCUGUGAAGGCCAAGUUACCCUUAUCUCAAGUCUACACCAAUGGUAAUGAAUUUUUAAUAAAAAUUUCUCAGGAGAAAUUUCUUUUACUAUGACUGGCCUUUUUGUUUAAUCUCAAAACCAGAGUUAAUAAUAUACUCUGAGGUUACUUCAGACGUAGAACAAUGCCAGUGUAUGCUUUUCCUUUGUAUAACCUGUCCUUAAGGGACUAAUGGAACAACCAACCUUACUUGCCUUGAGUUUUAAGUAACCAAUCAUUAUAAUCUGAUGUAAGGCAUAGCUGUUAUUUUAAAAUAUGUUUUUCAAUGCUUCUGACCCAGAGUGUAAUGAAUUUUUAUCUAUGUAAGUGUUACAAUGAUCACAUUUGGAAAAUGGUAAAUAGGAUAAAAGCUGUUUUUAAAAAUGAAUACCCACCACAAAUAUUGAAUAAAACAUACAAAUAGUGCAUG